rnacentral:rRNA from 1 species
GUGCCAGCCGCCGCGGUAAUACGUAGGUGGCGAGCGUUGUCCGGAUUUACUGGGCGUAAAGGGUGCGCAGGCGGAUGUUUAAGUGAGAUGUGAAAUACCCGGGCUUAACCCGGGGGCUGCAUUUCAAACUGGACAUCUGGAGUGCAGGAGAGGAGAAUGGAAUUCCUAGUGUAGCGGUGAAAUGCGUAGAGAUUAGGAAGAACACCAGUGGCGAAGGCGAUUCUCUGGACUGUAACUGACGCUGAGGCACGAAAGCGUGGUAGCAAACAGGAUUAGAUACCCUGGUAGUCCACGCCGUAAACGAUGAGUACUAGGUGUAGGAGGUAUCGACCCCUUCUGUGCCGCAGUUAACACAUUAA